UGGAUCAAGAUUCAAACUCUUCUCAACAGCCAAGUACUGGGGAGCAAAAGCUUCAUUCACCUUAGAAAAAAAAAGGUAACAGUGGUAAAAAGUCUCACUAGAGAAGAUUAUCUCUUCUGUUCAUUCUUGAAGUAUGAAACUGCAGUACAUGUCUACAAAGAAAAACUGUAUCUUUUGUUGAAUACAAGUAGUCAAACUUAUGUAACAAGUUUUACAAAUAUACCUAAGAUAUUGAUAAUCACGCAGUUUUGCUAACCAGCUUUCCAUCUCUGCUGUGACUGCAGGGCAUAUUUGUCACAAUCUUCUCUGCUUA